CCUGCAUAACAGCACAACUUGCUCGAGCAGAUCAUUGAAAAUGGGAAAGGUAAGAUUAUCUGACUAUUUUAAACAUUUGUAAAAAGAUAUAUUACAUAUAACAAUAGCCAGAUUUUAUAUUUAUUAAUAAACCACAAACAGGUAAUAUUUAAAAAAAAAUGUUUACAGUGAAAGACAUAGACUUUAUCUACUGAACAAUAUGUUGUGGUGACUUGACACGACUGAACAAUGGAUUUAAAAAUCUAGGCCAGAAAGAAGAAAAAAACCUAAAGUGUUUAUUCCAUUUUUGGAUAUUUCCAGCCUAAUCAAACAGGAAUUUUUCAGAAUAUAUGCUUUACAUAUUUAUUAUUUUUAGACUCAGGAUUAGGAUUUUUCAGUUUGUUUUUCUAGAAAUCUGUUAAAAGGACAGACGAGUCUAGGGAACCCAAUAAGCAGGAAAUCCUCAGUGCUCACUAGUCUCUUUUCACUGUGAUAAAUUGCUAUCAUUAUGUGAGAGUGAGUGCAAGCUCAUGCCAAAAACAAAAUGUAACAAAAGUCUAUAUUCCAAUUCUGCCCUAAAUGUAUAUUUAACUCCUACAGUUUUCCUUUGAAUAGGAUAUUAGCUAAUGUAUUUAUAAAGCUAUAGCAUUGACUAAUCAAACCAGAAGCAUUUUUUGAAUGGCCUUUCUGGCAACUAAAACAAAAAUAAAUUUUUAAAAGUCUAAAUUGUUCAAAUGCGUAAUUUCUUCCAUAGAUUGUCUUCUACGAAGAUCGUAACUUUCAGGGACGCUCUUAUGAGUGCAACUCUGAAUGUCCAGAUUUGACCUCAUAUUUUCAUCGCUGCAAUUCCAUCCGAGUGGAAAGUGGGAACUGGAUACUGUAUGAACAACCCAACUACAGAGGCCACCAGUAUUACCUUAGCAGGGGAGAAUACCCUAAUUUCCAGCAAUGGAUGGGUUUCAACGACUCCAUUAGAUCCUGUCGUCUUAGUCCACAGGUAUAUUUACCAGAACUUUACCAGAAUAUUAAAGAUGCAGUCCAAAAAACAGUAGUGUCCAAUUCCAAUUAAUAAUGGUUACACUUUUGAAAAUAUAACAUUUAAAAAAAAUAUUAAAUAACAUUUUCAUCUUAUAUAUCAAACAUCUUUAAUGUAUAUCAAUGAAAAAUGUAUGUUCAGUAUAGAUUCUUGAUGUUUACAUGGUUUACAUGACAUUGUGAAAUUCUUGUAGUGUUAUUUAUAAAUUACAUAUUUUUUUAUCCUCAUAAAGCACCAAGGUUCAUUCAGUGUAAAGGUCUAUGAGAGGGAAGAUUUCCAAGGUCAGAUGAUGGAGUUCACUGAAGAUUGUCCUAAUGUCUAUGAGAGAUUCCAUCAUCACGACAUCCACUCAUGCCAUGUACUUGAUGGUUACUGGAUGUUCUAUGAGGAACCAAAUUACAGGGGCCGCCAGUAUUACCUGAGACCUGGAGAGUACAGAAGAUAUACUGACUGGGGUGCCAUGAAUCCAAGAAUUGGCUCAUUCAGGAGACUUCACCAUUUUUAAUAAGUUGUAUUAAUUAAUAAACCAACAUGUAAUUAAUAAAUCAAUAUGUAGACUACAAUAAAGGUAUCAAGUAAUUAUCAUUAAGGUCUAUAAUUGUUUUAUUUUAAAUUUUUGCUUUACGACAUAGACAAAGCACAA
rnacentral:lncRNA from 1 species